rnacentral:rRNA from 1 species
GAUGAACGCUGGCGGCGUGCCUAAUACAUGCAAGUCGAGCGGACAGACGAGGAGCUUGCUCCUCUGACGUUAGCGGCGGACGGGUGAGUAACACGUGGAUAACCUGCCUAUAAGACUGGGAUAACUUCGGGAAGCCGGAUCUAAUACCGGAUAAGAUAUUGAACCGCAUGGUUCAAUAGUGAAAGACGGUUUUGCUGUCACUUCUAGAUGGAUCCGCGCCGCAUUAGCUAGUUGGUAAGGUAACGGCUUACCAAGGCAACGAUGCGUGGCCGACCUGAGAGGGUGAUCGGCCACACGGGAACUGAGACACGGUCCAGACUCCUACGGGAGGCAGCAGUAGGGAAUCUUCCGCAAUGGGCGAAAGCCUGACGGAGCAACGCCGCGUGAGUGAUGAAGGUCUUCGGAUCGUAAAACUCUGUUAUUAGGGAAGAACAAAUGUGUAAGUAACUGUGCACGUCUUGACGGUACCUAAUCAGAAAGCCACGGCUAACUACGUG